rnacentral:rRNA from 1 species
UACGUAGGGUGCGAGCGUUAAUCGGAAUUACUGGGCGUAAAGCGUGCGCAGGCGGUUAUGCAAGACAGAUGUGAAAUCCCCGGGCUCAACCUGGGAACUGCAUUUGUGUCUGCAUGGCUUGAGUGCGGCAGAGGGAGAUGGAAUUCCGCGUGUAGCAGUGAAAUGCGUAGAUAUGCGGAGGAACACCGAUGGCGAAGGCAAUCCCCUGGACCUGUACUGACGCUGAGGCACGAAAGCGUGGGGAGCAAACAGG